UACUACCGGCUUACAAGCACAAGCCCUGGACGAUGUAUUAUGAGCUACAGCUGGAUGGAUCCAUCCAAUGUCCCACUCGACACAUGGAAGGUGUUGGCCUAACUUCCCACCUCGGGCCCAAGAACCUGAUCACGAAUGAUCCUUCACUCGAUGAGACAUCUUGCAUAUGGCCGUUAAGAUAACAAUAUCACAGACCAAAAUGCUGCUUCUUAUCUUCUUCAAGCAACGUAAAAAAAGAUUGUCAUCCCCUGCACAAUACAGUCAUCUGCACUAAAUUUGACCAAAAA